rnacentral:rRNA from 1 species
GACGAACGCUGGCGGCGUGCUUAACACAUGCAAGUCGAACGGAAAGGCCUCUUUCGGGGGGUACUCGAGUGGCGAACGGGUGAGUAACACGUGAGUAACCUGCCCUUGACUUUGGGAUAACUUCAGGAAACUGGGGCUAAUACCGGAUAGGAGCUCCUGCUGCAUGGUGGGGGUUGGAAAGUUUCGGCGGUUGGGGAUGGACUCGCGGCUUAUCAGCUUGUUGGUGGGGUAGUGGCUUACCAAGGCUUUGACGGGUAGCCGGCCUGAGAGGGUGACCGGCCACAUUGGGACUGGGAUACGGCCCAGACUCCUACGGGAGGCAGCAGUGGGGGAUGUUGCACAAUGGGUGGGAGCCUGAUGCAGCAACGCCGUGUGCGGGAUGACGGCCUUCGGGUUGUAAACCGCUUUCGCUCAUGACGAAGCUUUGUGUGACGGUAGUGGGUAAAGAAGCACCGGCUAACUACGUG